GGAUCCAGACUUUGAUCCUGGCUCAGGACGAACGCUGGCGGCGCGCCUAACACAUGCAAGUCGAACGGAGCUUAGAGAGCUUGCUUUUUAAGCUUAGUGGCGAACGGGUGAGUAACGCGUGAGUAACCUGCCCUAGAGUGGGGGACAACAGUUGGAAACGACUGCUAAUACCGCAUAGCCCACGGUGCCGCAUGACACCGAGGGAAAAGGAUUUAUUCGCUUUAGGAUGGACUCGCGUCCAAUAGCUAGUUGGUGAGGUAACGGCCCACCAAGGCGACGAUUGGUAGCCGGACUGAGAGGUUGAACGGCCACAUUGGGACUGAGACACGGCCCAGACUCCUACGGGAGGCAGCAGUGGGGGAUAUUGCACAAUGGGGGAAACCCUGAUGCAGCGACGCCGCGUGGAGGAAGAAGGUUUUCGGAUUGUAAACUCCUGUCGUUAGGGACGAUAAUGACGGUACCUAACAAGAAAGCACCGGCUAACUAUGUGCCAGCAGCCGCGGUAAAACGUAGGGUGCAAGCGUUGUCCGGAAUUACUGGGUGUAAAGGGAGCGCAGGCGGGAAGACAAGUUGGAAGUGAAAACCAUGGGCUCAACCCAUGAAUUGCUUUCAAAACUGUUUUUCUUGAGUAGUGCAGAGGUAGAUGGAAUUCCCGGUGUAGCGGUGGAAUGCGUAGAUAUCGGGAGGAACGCCAGUGGCGAAGGCGGUCUACUGGGCACCAACUGACGCUGAGGCUCGAAAGCAUGGGUAGCAAACAGGAUUAGAUACCCUGGUAGUCCAUGCCGUAAACGAUGAUUACUAGGUGUUGGGGGAUUGACCCCCUCAGUGCCGCAGUUAACACAAUAAGUAUUCCACCUGGGGAG
rnacentral:rRNA from 1 species